rnacentral:rRNA from 1 species
GUGCAGCAGUCGCGAAUACUUUACAAUGCGGGAAACCGUGAUAAGGGAACCUCGAGUGCUGGCGCAUAGCGUCGGCUGUCCAGAUGCCUAAAAGCAUCUGAUAGCAAGGGCCGGGCAAGACCGGUGCCAGCCGCCGCGGUAACACCGGCGGCUCGAGUGGUGGCCACGUUUAUUGGGUCUAAAGCGUCCGUAGCCGGCUCGGCAAGUCCCCUGGGAAAUCUGGCGGCUCAACCGUCAGGCGUCCAGAGGAUACUGCUGGGCUUGGGACCGGGAGAGGUGAGAGGUACCUCAGGGGUAGGGGUGAAAUCUUGUGAU